rnacentral:rRNA from 1 species
AUUGAACGCUGGCGGCAGGCCUAACACAUGCAAGUCGAACGAGUGGCGGACGGGUGAGUAAUGGAUGGGAAUAUGCCCGAUGGAGGGGGAUAACUACUGGAAACGGUAGCUAAUACCGCAUACCAUCGGAUGAGCCCAGAUGGGAUUAGCUAGUAGGUGGGGUAACGGCCCACCUAGGCGACGAUCCCUAGCUGGUCUGAGAGGAUGACCAGCCACACUGGAACUGAGACCCGGUCCUGACUCCUACGGGAGGCAGCAGUGGGGAAUUUUGCACAAUGGGCGCAAGCCUGCUUCAGCCAUGCCGCGUGUAUGAAGAAGGCCUUCGGGUUGUAAAGUACUUUCAGCUGGGAGGCGUUACUCGCAGAAGAAGCACCGGCUAACUCCGUGCCAGCAGCCGCGGUAAUUC